rnacentral:tRNA from 1 species
UAAGUGUAAAAAAAGACUUCUAAUCUUUUAUCAGCAAACAAGCUACACUUAA